AAAAACUUAGGUUAAAUAAACCAAUUAAAUUUCAAAUUUAAUAAUGAGAGAAUCAGUUUUUA
rnacentral:tRNA from 1 species